GAUGAACGCUGACAGCAUGCUUAACACAUGCAAGUCAACUUGAACUUCGGUUUGGGUGGCGGACGGGUGAGUAACGCGUAAAGAAAUUGCCUCACAGAUAGGGACAAAGUUUGGAAACGAAUGCUAAUACCUGAUAUUAUGAUUAUAUGGCACCGUAUAAUUAUGAAAGCUAUAUGCGCUGUGAGAGAGCUUUGCGUCCCAGUAGCUAGUUGGAGAGGUAACGGCUCACCAAGGCGAUGAUGGGUAGCCGGCCUGAGAGGGUGAUCGGCCACAAGGGGACUGAGACACGGCCCGUACGCCGUCUGGAGGCAGCAGUGGGGAAUAUUGGACAAUGGACCAAGAGUCUGAUCCAGCAAUUCUGUGUGCACGAUGAAGUUUUUCGGAAUGUAAAGUGCUUUCAGUUGGGAAGAAAAAAAUGACGGUACCAACAGAAGAAGUGACGGCUAAAUACGUG
rnacentral:rRNA from 1 species